rnacentral:rRNA from 1 species
AUACGUAGGGGGCGAGCGUUGUCCGGAAUGAUUGGGCGUAAAGGGCGCGUAGGCGGCGCGGUAAGUCUGGAGUGAAAUUCCAGUUUUCAAGGCUGGAACUGCUUUUAAUACUGUUGAGCUUGAGUGCAGAAGAGGUAAGCGGAAUUCCCAGUGUAGCGGUGAAAUGCGUAGAGAUCGGGAAGAACACCAGUGGCGAAGGCGGCUUACUGGGCUGUAACUGACGCUGAGGCGCGAAAGCGUGGGGAGCGAACAGGAUUAGAUACCCUGGUAGUCCACGCUGUAAACGAUGAAUGCUAGGUGUAGGGGGUAUCGACCCCUCCUGUGCCGGAGUGAACGCAAUAAGCAUUCCGCCUGGGGAGUACGGCCGCAAGGUUGAAACUCAAAGGAAUUGACGGGG